rnacentral:rRNA from 1 species
UCCAGACUCCUACGGGAGGCAGCAGUGAGGAAUAUUGGUCAAUGGACGAGAGUCUGAACCAGCCAAGUAGCGUGAAGGAUGACUGCCCUAUGGGUUGUAAACUUCUUUUAUAUGGGAAUAAAAUGUUCCACGUGUGGGAUUUUGUAUGUACCAUAUGAAUAAGGAUCGGCUAACUCCGUGCCAGCAGCCGCGGUAAUACGGAGGAUCCGAGCGUUAUCCGGAUUUAUUGGGUUUAAAGGGUGCGCAGGCGGCGUGUCAAGCAAGCGGUAAAAUAGCGGGGCUCAACCCCGUCGAGCCGUUUGAACUGGCGCGCUUGAGUUCAGGCGAGGUAGGCGGAAUUCGUGGUGUAGCGGUGAAAUGCAUAGAUAUCACGAAGAACUCCGAUUGCGAAGGCAGCUUACCAGUCUGCGACUGACGCUCAGGCACGAAAGUGUGGGUAUCGAACAGGAUUAGAUACCCUAGUA